GAUGAACGCUAGCGGCAGGCCUAAUACAUGCAAGCCGAACGGCAAGCCUUGUAGCAAUACGAGGCCUAGAGUGGCGCAAGGGUGCGUAACACGUAUGCAAUCUGCCCACAACAGGAGGACAGCUCCCCGAAAGGGGAAUUAACCCUCCAUGGGACCACACGAGGGCAUCCGAGAGUGGUUAAACCAAAAGGGGUUGUGGAUGGGCAUGCGGUUGAUUAGCUGGUUGGAGGGUAACGGCCUACCAAGGCGAUGAUCAAUAGGGGAACUGAGAGGUUUGUCCCCCACACUGGCACUGAGA
rnacentral:rRNA from 1 species